AAUAAUCGAGUUACGAUAGAUCAUUCACCAGCCAGAGGACACAAGAGUCGAGCAACAAGCUAGACGAUCGACGAGAGAGAGAGAAGCGCGGAAUAAUGAAGGCCCGUCGUCCCUCGUUGCUGGCUCUGUGCUUGGCGAUAUUGGCAGCCGCGCUCGUCAUUUUCGCCGUGCACGUCGAGCCUGCGCAAGGGAGGCCGCCGCAGCCAGGACCUCCGUCUCCAAUUGCAAAUAUAGGACCGGGUGAACACGGGAGGUAGGAUGAUUAGGGUAGAUUUUGACCAGUGGGCGUGAUUGAAGUUGCGGUUUGUAUAUGAUCAGCGUCGUGCUCUUAUUAGCCUCUCUGGCUCAGUCCACAUAUUGUGCAGUGUGCUAGGAGAAGAAACAUUGUAUCCACUAAUUAGUGAUGUAUUAUUAGUAGACGACUGCUCAAUUUGAUUUAUUUUUUGUCAAAACACAGGAGAGCUAACUGCACCUCUUUGUAUUUGUAUUAAGAUUUAAAAAGGAUAUGCUUUUACAUAGCGAUUACACAA